rnacentral:tRNA from 2 species
GCACACCUUCGGGCGGAAUCAGGCCCGCGCCGGGCUCAUGCCCCGGCGCUCCGGGUUCACGCCCGGGGCGCGCA